CCAAUUUCGCCUGGUCGCUACUACUGAUUUUCCUUCCUUCUUUCAAUCUGUUUAUGCGUUAGUGUUUGAAGAACGCGAGACUGAAGACCCGAUUUCUCAAGCUGCUCUCAUGACCUGCUCGCUACUACUGAUUUUCCUUCACUUCAAUCUGAAAUUAGGUUCAGGUUCUUAACGUCGUUCAGGUCUUGUAAGCUUCUCAUUAAGCUUAUUACUCGGAAAAUUGUUUAUUUUCAUAUUUUUAAGCCGCUCUUCCAUUUAAUUUUCAGUCUUACAAAUUUUCUUGUGAUAAACACUUUGGAUAUAGAUAUAGUCUUGAGAAAACGUA